AAAAUUUCUAGGGCUUAGAGGUUGCUGGCAUUAGCCUCCCUCCUCUAUAUAUCCUUAGAUCUGCAUUCUAAGGGUUAGGGGCGUGCUCGUUUCACUGGAACACACAAGUUCUCAAAACCCUCAUUCAAAAUGCCCAAGCAAAUUCAUGAGAUUAAGGAUUUCCUUCUCACUGCAAGAAGGAAAGAUGCACGCUCUGUGAAGAU
rnacentral:misc_RNA from 1 species